rnacentral:rRNA from 1 species
CGCAGGCGGACCCGGACUGUCGC